GGCUCCAAGACUGCUUAAACAUGAUAUCCACUGGGAAUCCUCUUCCUCUGACAUUUGGGCUUCAUGCCAUUUGGACCUGGCUUAGGUCAUUUGUUCCAGUACCAACUGGUGGUAGAUUUUUUUUUUAAAGAUUUUUAUUUAUUUAUUUGAGAGGUAGGGUUAUAGACAGAGAGAGGGAGAGACAAAGAGAAAGGUCUUACAUCCACUGGUUCACUUCUCAAAUGGUUGCAACAGCCAGAGAUGGGCUGAUCUGAAGCUAGGAGCUUCUUCCAGGUCUCCCACAUGGGCACAGAGGCCAACUACUUGGUCCAUCUUCUACUGCUUUCUCAGGCCAUAGCAGAGAGCUGCAGCAGAAGAGGAGCAGCCGGGAACAGAACUGGCACCCGUAAGGGACACCAGCUCUAAGAUGGGAGGUUGGCACCUCAGGCAGAGGCUUUAGCCUAGUACGCCACAGCACCGGCCCUGGGGAGAUGAUAUUUUAAGACUCUUUGAUCAGUCAGUCCCUCCACAAGGGAAAUUUUGUUUGGAAGAGUCACUGAGUAAAAAUUUGUUUAUCUUGGGUAAAAUACAGGUAAUCAGAUGUUAAUUCCAUCCAAAUCCCUCUGAGCUGAUAAGGACAGCCAAUAUUUCUGGCCUCAUAACUAAGAAAAAUUGUGAUAAUGCAUGGAUUUGUUUGCAUUGCAUUCUAAAGAAUGAGGAGGCCCAUGAGGUCCCGUUGGUCCUUUAAAGCCAGUUGUAACUCCCACAGAAGCCCCUGGUGCAAUUGAAAGCAGGGAACAAGAAUCAGAAAAAUAAUGCACUACAAAAUAUUUCUUUAUUAAGGUGCUAACUGAAUCUGAACUGAAGAUACAAUUUUCUUUUCAUGUGUAGAUGUUCAACUCUUUUACUGGGACUAGAGUUAUUUUCCAAACUAAAUGCUUAUGUUAAGAUUUUAUUCCUGCCAGUCCCAAUUGAGAAAAAAAUUAUGGUUAAUUAAAUUAUUGAAAGAAUUCUGUUAUGUCGAUAAUUUUCAAAAGGAGUUAAAUAUUUUAUAAAGGGGCGAUGAAGUAGGCAGGCAUACAGGCUAAAAUUGACUAGUGAACUGGAAGACCAUGUCUUCGCCAUGCCCCUGUGUGAUGUCAUGCCCCUACCUGAUACCUUCACCACACCCCUGUGUGACCUCAUCCCCCUACCUAGCCACACCUGGGUGCCAACCAGCCAAUCAGGUUAAUUAACCACUCCCCUUUGGAAGUGGGUUAAAAGCCUGGGACACAGUGUGUCUGGGCCUUCUUUUCUUGCCUGGUCUCCUGCCAGGACGGGCUUGCUGUAGCCCUGUGCCUCCAGGACAUGUGCCCUCAGGCCAUGUGCUUUAGGCUUCCUGGCCUAGAUGCUCCUCCAUGUGGCUGGUUCCUGGUGCUCAGUAUGAACCAUAUUUACCUAACUCUCAGCCUCUGCUUUGCUGCCAGUGGUAAGCAGUGAAUAGCAGCUUGAGGUGCUUGCUGCACGUGGCUUUUGUCUGUUCCCUGCUUGGUAUGGAUGCUACCCUGGUUUCUAGACUUUCCUCCCUCUCCUACCAGAACUAAACCCUCACUUUCCUAGAUACCUCUCGCACUAAAUAAAAGCCUAAAACAUACCAUGCUGCUUCGUUAAUCUGUGCCGGUAUUUAGAAUUCUUCUCUAAAUAUUAGGCAAGAACCCUCUUGGGCUUAUUAAUAUUGGGGAUUAAUAAGUUCAUGGUGAAAUCAUGUGGCACCCCAAAUUCUGGUAACACAUGUGGCACCCAGAUAGCACUUCUGGGAAACUUAAGGCCCACAUUUCAGUGUGGAAUUUAGGGGGUCGUGUCUGAUUUCAAAAUGACAUUAUUCCUUCUCAUGAUAUAUGCUAUAUAUAUGUGUGUAUUUGUUGUAUAUUGUAUAUUAUGUUGUAUAUUGUAUAUUAUGUCUGAAUGGUAAAAAAUUCCUUAAGAGCUUUGUUUUAACUGACAUAGGCAAAUGAGUGUUCACAUAAAUUAAAACUAUUUAAUUAACCCAAAUAUCUUUUUUUUUUUUUGAGAGGAAGAGUUAGAGACAGAGAAAGGUCUUCCUUUUUCUGUUGGUUCAUCCCACAGUGGCCGCUGCAGCCAGCACUGCACAGAUCCGAAGCCAGGAGCCAGGCGCUUCCUCUUGGUCUCCCAUGCGGGUGCAGGGCCCAAGCACUUGGGCCAUCCUCCACUGCACUUCCAGGGCCACAGCAGAGAGCUGAACUGGAAAAGGAGCAUCUGGGACAGAAUCCGGCACUCCGACCAGGACUAGAACCUGGGGUGCCGGCGCCGCAGGAGGAUGAUUAGCCUAGUGAGCAGUGGUGCCGGCCUCAAAUAUCUUUUGAUUCAUGUGACCUAAGCUGUUGCUGCCUUCUUGCAAUAAACCUUUUCCUCUGGCCAGGCCUCAUCUUUGGUGAAUUGAAGCGGCGAGCAUCAAGAGCUGGAUUGUUCACUCAAUAACCACAUUGGUGAGCGAUCCAGAAGCUGGGUGUAUUCUUCCAGUGGCCUGACCCUCUCACACUGAUGCCUCUGAUGAAAUUGACUGUGAGGAACAAGAAUUAAUACGAUAAAAGGUGUUUUUUGAGCAGAGUGCCAACUGAACCUGAAAUGAAGAUAUAAUUAUCUUUGUGUAUGUUAGUGUCCAGUACCAUCACUGGGACUAGAGUUGCUUUCCAAGUUAAAUGCUCAAUUUUUCAGGCAAUCUAAGUAUAAGUGCUCAAAAUGAAUUGGUGGUCUUUGCUUUCUCUGCACUUUGCUGUGGCACCUUGUGCAUCAUCAUGUCCUUGCAACCUAAGGGUGUCUCCCUCUCAUCAUCUGCCUGAGAAAUGGACUCAAGUAUGCAGUGACUGGAGAGGAGGUAAAGAACUGUAUGCAGUGCUUGAUCAGAAUCAGCAACCAGGUUCAAAAACUGAUGUUGCAUACCUUGCUGCAUUCAUGGAUACAUGUGAGAUGGAGCAAACAUUGGCUAGCAUCAAGAAGACAGGAACUAAGAAACAGAGCAAAAGGGAGAGAGAAGCACAGGGAUCUCCUAUCAACUGGCUUUCUCCAGCUACCGCAAUACCUGGACGCCACUAGCCUAAGGCCUAGCACUUAGAACUCAAGCCAGAUAAGAUCCUGGAGACAUCUACAUGUACCUGAGACAAACAAAAAUGAAUUUAUUGCCAGUAAGUUAUUUAUUCCUCAGCUUCUUUCACAUUGUAGUUUAUUUUAUUUUAUUUUAUUUUUUUGACAGGGAGAGUUAGACAGUGAGAGACAGAGAGAAAAGUUUUCCUUCCGUUGCUUCACCCCCGAAAUGGCCGCUACAGCUGGUGCCCCAGCUCCAGUUCUUUGUGACCAUUUUGAGAGUGAACCAGUGGGUGGAAGACUUCUCUGUUUCUCCCUCUCUGUAACUCUACUAAGAAGGAGAAGAAGAAGAAAAACAUGCAGAACACAAACUGGUGCCCGUAUGUGAUGGUGGCACCAUAAGUGGACAUAUAGCAUACUAUGCCACAACACUGGCACUGAGAGAGAGACCGUGACUUUCAGUCAACUGAUUUACACUCCAAACACCCACAGCAGGCAGGGCUGAGACAGGGUCAUAGGUGAGAACCAGGAAUGUAGUCCUGGCCUCUCACUUGAGUUGAGAAGCCUACAUUCUAGAGUUGUCAACACUGACUUCUAGUGUCUAGAUUUGCAAAAUCUAAAAUUAGGAGCCAGCCCUGAAAGCACAGCUGGAAAUGCUGCUGUGGGACCAGGGCAUUAGGCUAAAUGACUCUUUUCCCUUGCCAUGAUAGAAACUGCUGCACGCCUUCUCCUGGAAGUUAACCUGUUUGUAUCAUGACAUCACUGAAAGUUUCUUCUCUUUUUACUGGUGUCCUAUUGAUUGCAUUCUGCAAUUCACCUUGACAGGUUGACCCUAUAUCAUCUGACACAUCUGUAUCUCCAGCUUGGGCUUCUUGCACAGCAUGUAGACCACUAUAUUUACUCCCUGUUGAGUGUUUCCUUAUAGCCAUCCAAAUGGCACCUCAAGCUGCUCAAAUCUAAAAUGAAAACCUGGGGCUGACAUUGUGACAUUGUGGUAUAGUGGGUUAAACAGCUGCCUAGGAUGCCAGCAUCCCUUAAGGAUUUUGGUUUGUUUCCUGGUUGCUCCAUUUCCAAUCCAGCUCCCUGUUUAGCAUACCUGUGCAAGCAGCAGAAGUUAGUCCACCGGCGCCAUGGCUCACUAGGUUAAUCCUCCACCUUGUGGCACCGGCACACCGGGUUCUAGUCCCAGUUGGGGCACCAGAUUCUGUCCCGGUUGCCCCUCUUCCAGGCCAGCUCUCUGUUGUGGCCAGGGAGUGCAGUGGAGGAUGGCCCAAGUGCUUGGGCCCUGCACCCCAUAGGAGACCAGGAGAAGCACCUGGCUCCUGCCAUUGGAUCAGCGCAGUGCGCCAGCUGCAGCACACCAUUGGCGGCCCUUGGAGGGUGAACCAACGGCAAAAGGAAGACCUUUCUCUCUGUCUCUCUCUCUCACUGUCCACUCUGCCUGUCAAAAAAAAAAAAAAAAAAAAAAAAAGAAGUUAGUCUGUGGGGAGCAACUCGGACUAGACUGUUACUGGAAUUAAGACUUAUUCUAUGCAUCUGCUCUCCCACAAUAUGGCGCUGGGAGAGGAGUAAACAGCUUCUACCCAGCUGCCUCUCACCAACUUGACAAGCUGCAGGAGCUGCUCCUGAUUGGAGGAGAGCGGCGUGCUCAGCGUGUGGGCAGCCGAGUUAGGAUUGGCGGAGGAGGACUAUAAAGGAGGAGAGAGACGGCAUUCACCAGGAACAUCUAUAGGGAAUAUCUAUGGGGAACAUCUAGCUGAAGGAACACCUGUGCAGCCCCCGAGAGAGCCGGCCGGCGGUGUGCCGCUCCCCUGUGGAAGUGGGGAAUGUGGCCAGGGGGAACUGCCCUUCCACGGAGGUGGAAGGGAUAGUACCCAACCCGGGAAGAACCAGCAGCAAACCCAGGGAGGGCCGAGCAGACGAAAGAACAGCGCAGGGUCCUGUGUUGCUCCUCCACGAAGACGGGGAGCGACAUAAUGGUGCCGUGACUCGGAUAUGAAGCCUAGGCAGGGUUUAGUGUCGUUCCUCCAUGAAGAGGGGGAGCGACAUAAUGGUGCCGUGACUCGGAUAGGAAACCUAGCUCGGAUAGGAAACCUAGAACGGAUAGCAAACUUAGGAGGGAAGAAACGGGAAGAACUGGGAAAAUAUCGGAGAGAGAGACUAGCAAACAGCCUAGGGAAAAGCCGGACGAAAAGGGUGCCGGAAGAAGCUAUUGAAAGCCUAGGCGUAGACUCAGAUACGGACUACGAGGGGAAGCUGGGAGAAAUCUCUAAGGUCGAAAGCGAAAGUGAAAGCUAGAACAAACAGACUCGGAUGCGGACUGUGGGGAGAGGCCAGGAGAAAUGAGGGAGGAGUAUUGUUGGAGGAAAGCUUGGGGAAACAUACCGGGUAGAGAAAAUGUUAGGGAAAUUGAAGCCGCGGGGGGCAGGCCAAGGCGGAAACGGAAGCCAUUUUGGGAUUCUCAAGUUAGCCCGGGAAUAGGGGGCGAAAGGUUGAAACCAGAAGCUGAAACGUAAGCCAGAUUGGGAUCCGUCUGAUUAGCCCGGGGA